UGCCUUAGUAACGGCGAGUGAAGCGGCAAAAGCUCAAAUUUGAAAUCGGCCACCAGGUCGAGUUGUAAUUUGUAGAUUGUAUCUUGAGAGCGGAUUAAAGUCUGUUGGAACACAGCGCCUUAGAGGGUGACAGCCCCGUAAAAUCUAUUCUCAUUGUAAGAUACUUUCGAAGAGUCGAGUUGUUUGGGAAUGCAGCUCUAAGUGGGAGGUAAAUUCCUUCUAAAGCUAAAUAUUGACGAGAGACCGAUAGCGAACAAGUACUGUGAAGGAAAGAUGAAAAGCACUUUGAAAAGAGAGUGAAAAAGUACGUGAAAUUGUUAAAAGGGAAGGGUAUUGAAUCAGACUUGGUGCUGUUGUUCAACUGUGUUUCGGCAUAGUGUACUCAGCAGUACUAGGCCAAGGUGGGGUGUUUGGGAGUGAAAAAGAAGUUGGAACGUAACUCUUCGGAGGUUAUAGCCUACUUUCAUAGCUCCUCAGGCGCCUCAGGACUGCGCUUCGGCAAGGACCUUGGCAUAAUGAUUCUAUACCGCCCGUCUUGAA
rnacentral:rRNA from 1 species